UCCAGGACGCCAUUUCGUUCUUUCGAAGUUGGGAGCUACAAUCGCCUGAGACGGAUUCUGACAUGGAAACAAUGACGUCUUGUGACACUGCUGGGCAAUUCAGUGCCAAAAGGAGAGAGAGCAGCUCUCAGAAUCCUACCUAGUGCGCAAGCAGAAAUAGCCAUGAAUAAAAAGGUUGACAGGAUUGACAUCAGCUGACUUUGGGAGAAUGUCUGAUCUAUGCCAAAUGUGAGGAGAGCAGCCAACUGUGUGGUCUUGAAUCCGGUAUCACUGCAUUAUCCAUGUUAGGUGCAGACAUGGGAAACUUGCAUAAAGAAAGAUGCGGAAACAUGCUGACUACAAGACACUGGACAAUGGAGAUUAAUAAGCAAAGGCAGAUCAUUUUCUGGAAAUUUGGAGGUAAGUCUUAACCUAUACAUAUUUAUGUAAAUUUAUUAGAAUGUAACCAGUGAUGCACUGAUUCUGCCAAAUGAGUAAAAUGAUAUCACAUACUAAACCGUUCCAUUUUUCUCUGAGGUUACUUAAGUAUCAUUGUAUAUGAACAUGUUUCUCCCCCCCAAGACUAACAUAUGACCCUUGUUUUCAGGGAAUAGAAACAAGUGACACAAUUUACCAGCUGGAAAGGUAACUGAAUGGAUGAUCAUGGGAAAAAGCAAGAUUAUUAGUGAUGGUGAGCAGCAAGGUGCUGACUCACUGCAUCUGUUGCUCUUGUUUCAUGUAAAAUAAAAGCUAAUAUUGACUGAUA